rnacentral:rRNA from 1 species
UACGUAGGGACCAAGCGUUGUCCCGGAAUCAUUGGGCGUAAAGAGCGUGUAGGCGGCCCGAUAAGUCCGCUGUAAAAGUCCAGGGCUCAACCCCUGGAAAGCCGGUGGAUACUGUCGGGCUAGAGUCCGGAAGAGGCAAGUGGAAUUCCUGGUGUAGCGGUGAAAUGCGCAGAUAUCAGGAGGAACACCAACAGCGAAGGCAGCUUGCUGGGACGGUACUGACGCUGAGACGCGAAAGCGUGGGGAGCAAACAGGG